rnacentral:misc_RNA from 1 species
UGUAGUUAUCAAAGUUUCAAAAUUUUUCCCCUUUCCAAUUAUAUGAUAUUUAUGCAGAUCCUUCAAUGGAAAAUGGAAUAUUGCAAUGUCCAUAGGGUUCUGUUUACUUCCUUUCUAUAUCCCUGCCAAUGAGCCAUUUCUUGUGUUUCUGAAGUGGGUUUGUCUGAAAUUUGUUGGGCAUUGAUAUUCUAUGUGAAAGGAAGGCUUCUAUUGUUAAACUGUUGAUGUGGAAGUUGGACCGUAACUUGUGCGAUAUAAUUAACUAAUAUUUAACAACGAAAUGGAGAAAAGUGUGAAUUUUUUUUUAAUUAGCG